rnacentral:rRNA from 1 species
CCUACGGGUGGCAGCAGUGAGGAAUAUUGGUCAAUGGGCGAGAGCCUGAACCAGCCAAGUCGCGUGAAGGAUGACGGCCCUACGGGUUGUAAACUUCUUUUGUCAGGGAGCAAUUGGGUCCACGCGUGGGCUUAGCGAGAGUACCUGAAGAAAAAGCAUCGGCUAACUCCGUGCCAGCAGCCGCGGUAAUACGGAGGAUGCGAGCGUUAUCCGGAUUUAUUGGGUUUAAAGGGUGCGUAGGCGGAAUAUCAAGUCAGCGGUAAAAAUUCGGGGCUCAACCCCGUCGUGCCGUUGAAACUGGUGAUCUUGAGUGAGAGAGAAGUAAGCGGAAUGCGAGGUGAAGCGGUGAAAUGCGUAGAUAUCACGAAGAACACCGAUGGCGAAGGCAGCAUACCGGCGCCAAACUGACGCUGAAGCACGAAAGCGUGGGUAUCGAACAGGAUUAGAUACCCCUGUAGUC